UGGGGAUGACGUCAAGUCAGCAUGGCCUUUAUGUCCUGGGCUACACACACGCUACAAUGGCCAACACAAUAGGUUGCUAAGCCGCGAGGUGGAGCCAAUCCUCAAAGUUGGUCUCAGUUCAGAUUGCAGGCUGCAACCCGCCUGCAUGAAGAUGGAGUUGCUAGUAACCGCAGGUCAGCUAUACUGCGGUGAAUACGUUCCCGGGUCUU
rnacentral:rRNA from 1 species